CAGUAGCCGCGGUAAUACGAGGGGGGCAAGCGUUGUUCGGAAUUAUUGGGCGUAAAGGGCGCGUAGGCGGACUUUUAAGUCAGGGGUGAAAUCCCGGGGCUCAACCCCGGAACUGCCUUUGAUACUGGGAGUCUUGAGUUCGAGAGAGGUGAGUGGAAUUGCGAGUGUAGAGGUGAAAUUCGUAGAUAUUCGCAGGAACACCAGUGGCGAAGGCGGCUCACUGGCUCGAUACUGACGCUGAGGUGCGAAAGCGUGGGGAGCAAACAGGAUUAGAUACCCGUGUAGUCCCUGUCUCUUAUAC
rnacentral:rRNA from 1 species